AGUGAACGCUGGCGGUAGGCCUAACACAUGCAAGUCGAACGGCAGCACAGUAAGAGCUUGCUCUUACGGGUGGCGAGUGGCGGACGGGUGAGGAAUACAUCGGAAUCUACUUUUUCGUGGGGGAUAACGUAGGGAAACUUACGCUAAUACCGCAUACGACCUACGGGUGAAAGCAGGGGAUCUUCGGACCUUGCGCGAUUGAAUGAGCCGAUGUCGGAUUAGCUAGUUGGCGGGGUAAAGGCCCACCAAGGCGACGAUCCGUAGCUGGUCUGAGAGGAUGAUCAGCCACACGGGAACUGAGACACGGUCCAGACUCCUACGGGAGGCAGCAGUGGGGAAUAUUGGACAAUGGGCGCAAGCCUGAUCCAGCCAUACCGCGUGGGUGAAGAAGGCCUUCGGGUUGUAAAGCCCUUUUGUUGGGAAAGAAAAGCAGCAGGUUAAUACCCCGCUGUUCUGACGGUACCCAAAGAAUAAGCACCGGCCAACUUCGUG
rnacentral:rRNA from 1 species